AGGUGCAUACAGGCUAUCGCGCUAUGAGCAAUCAUGGUGAGGAAAGUCCGAGCACUCCUACCGAAAGGUAGAGACGGGUAGCGGGUAACGCCCGCAUGGCGCAAGCCAAGAGGUGCGAGCAGAGACGUCCAAUUUUGAAAAGAAUUGGAAAGCGAACCCAGCGUCCUUGAUUUAUCAUGGACCGAGCUUAGUCACGGUUGUGGGCUCAAAACCGUGAGUGAAACGGCUAAAUCCUUACUCGGGUGCAAGUACAGCGUUCAUUGGGGCAACCUGAUGUUCGAAAAGUUCGUACGCUACAGGUGGGUGGCAACACUCAUCGCAGAUAAAUGAUAGUCAUCUAUGCGUCGUGAGGCGUGCAGACACAGAACUCGGCUUAUCGUAUGCAUCUGCCA
rnacentral:RNase_P_RNA from 1 species